CACUAAAAAAAGAUGGCCGCAUUUUGUAGUAAAACAAGUGAAAUUUUCAUUCAUUAAUUAAAUAUAAACAAACGUUUUAAAAAUAAUUUUUUUAAAAAACUAAUCAAAUGUAUUUAAAUUUAGCAAAAAUUAUAAAAUUUAGCCAAUUAUAAUAAGAUAAAUAUGAAAUAAUUCAUAUUUAAAAUCAGUGUCUGCGUUUUCAACGAAAUGAAUGUAAAUGAAGAACAAUAAUUGAGUGUGUGGUAUAAUUGAAAGAAAAAGUGGCAUAUAGACAAAUAUUGUAUGAAAUAGAGAGAAAAAGGAACAAAUAAAUGACUAUAAACAAAAACGAAAAAAAAUCGAAAAAAUGAAAAUUAAAAAAAUGUUGUAGAAAAAUAAUUUUAUUUAAGAAAAGUUAAUUAUAUUUUAAGUAAAUUCAUACUUUAGCAGACAACAAAGAAAAAUGUUACAGUAUAAAAAUUCUACGCAAACAAAUGCGGCCUCAGCCUCAACCACGCCUACGCAGACACAGCAAGUACAGCAACAGACAACGCAAAAUGCCCCCGGCCAGCAGGUUCAAACUCAGGUUGCACAACCUACCCAGGUUAAAGCCACCUUUGUUAAUGCUUCUGGCCAACCACAAAUGGCUAGCACAGCUCUGCCUGGUAAUCAAAUACCAUUGUCACAGAUUAUAAAUUUGCAACAGUUGCCACAGCAGUUCAUACAGGCUGCACCCCAGCAAGGUGCACACCAACAACCCCAGGCAUUGCCACAAAAUAUGUUUCAAAUUGUACAGCCCAUGCAAACAGUAAAUAUUGAUGGUCAAGAGGCAAUCUUUAUACCGAACCUUAAUUCGCAGAUUUCUGCCGGUCAACCUAUGACACUUAACGGGCAGCAAGUGUUUCUAACACCGAAUGGUCAAAUUGUAAGAGCACCUCAGGCAGCUUCUCAGCCUACGGCGGUGCAAUUACAGCCCAAUACACAGUUUAUACAGGGUUUGGGGCAAACUAUCCAAAUACCCGCAGGAUUGGGAGGAGGAGGUUUACAGGAACAAACACUUUUUACCAUACCGGGUACAAAUAUACAAAUACCGGUUACAACUAUACAUAAUCCUCAAACAACACAACAGUUGCAGCAACAGCAGCUGCAGCAGUUACUGCAACAGCAACAACAACAGCAGCAACAACAGAAUCAAGCUCAUGCACAGGCUCAAGCUCAGGUUCAGGCUCAACAGCAUGCGCAACAACAGGCUCAGCAACAGGCACAGCAACAAGCCCAACAACAGACACAGCAGCAACAAACAAACGCUAAUUCAAACAAUGCAAAUUCCAAUCAAAAUCAAUCAUCUACAAAUGCUUCGGCUUCCACCAAUAACACAACAAAUUCCUCUCAAACCACUACAACUACCACAACUCUACCCAGCACAAUAACAAUACCCGGUACCAACAUACAAAUACCCACCUCUGUGGCUGCUGCAAACGGUCUACUGGGCAACAUACAGCAACUAUUAGCCGGCAAUACAAAUACUAUUAAAAUUGAUAAUGGUCAUCAGACACUACAAAAUAUACAAAUACGUCAAGCUAAUCCCGGUAGUGCCCCAACGCAAUCUCAACUGCCGCAGAUUGUGCAAUUCCCACAUGCCCUGCAACAGCAAACGGCGGCCGCACAACCACAGCCUACUUUGCAACAAACAACAGUGGCGGUUCAAGUCCCCAUACAAACAGGAGUGAAUGGCCAAACAAUAUAUCAAACAGUUCAUGUGCCCAUACAACAAUUGGCCUCAACAGCUGGAGGUAUUCCAACUGCGAAUCUCUUACCAGCAGCACAACCAAUGCAAAUGCCUCAAAUUAUACCCCAAUUCACGCAAAUUGCCCAGAUCGUUACACCUAAUGGUCAAAUACAACAAGUGCAAUUGGCUCCGCUAAAUGCUCUAACUUCGUAUCAGCAGUUGCCCACCAAUGCCAAUAUUAUUCACAUACAGAAUGCUGCUCAACAGCAGCAAGUUCAGGCGGCCGUACAGCAACAACAACAACAGCAGCAACAGGUGCAACAGCAACAACAACAGCAAGUUGUAGCUGCCCAACAGCAAGCCGCCGUUGUGGCUCAGCAGCAAGUGCAACAACAGCAGCAACAACAACAACAACAGCAGCAAUUGCAACAAUUACAGCAGCAACAACAAAUCAUAAAUGCCAUAAAUGCCGCUAAUGAAUCGGGUGCUCAAAUACCCACAAACCAACCAAUAACAAUCACAAAUGCUCAGGGUCAACAGGUGACUGUUAUACCCGCUCAACAUUUGCAGCAAUUACAAAGACCUACAACGCAGACAACUGCUCCAACGGCAACACCGCAGCCCACGCAACCCUCAACCAAUCUAAUACAAUUGCAACAAAUACCGGGUCUUCAAGCUCUACCUAUACAAAAUAUUCCCGGUAUAGGUCAAGUUCAAAUAAUACAGGCUCAGCAGUUACCACCUAAUUUACAGCCACAAAACAUACAACAACUUUUAGCAGGCACAGCACCUACCGCCCAGCCACAUCAUCCAGCACCUACACAACAACAGCCCCAGCAACCCCAACAACAACCUCAAUCCACUACACAACCCCAGCAACAAACUAUGAAUCCACCUACCCAAUCAGCUCAAACUAGUUCAACCACUACCCCCAAUGCAACUACAGCCGCCACUAUACAGUUGCAAACUCAAAGCACUAACAAUAAUAAUUCUUCCACGGUUUCACAAACUACUCCCUCCAUUACACCCCAGUCGCCUAGCAGUAGCACCGGUUUGCAACAACCCAAACAGGAGCCUCAGUCGCCCACUCAAAUUGGUCAGACUUUAAUAACAAACAUUAAACAAGAACCACCAGAUAGCUCUCCGGUUUCAAGCAUUAAUAGUGGACCCAAUGGCGUACCAGCUGGUACAACACAAAUAAAAUGGCUAAUGCCACAGGCUACUACCGUAACACAGGUACAGCAGCAACAAGCUCAAUUGCAACAAAUUCAACAGCAAAUCCAACAAGCCCAGCAACAACAACAGCAGCAACAGCAACAAAUUGUUUCAACCAUCGACAGCAUGGCAAUACCAGUGACCAUACCUGCAUCUUUACAAAUCACAGCCAUCCCUCAGGGACAACAGCAGCAGCAACAACAUACUCAGCAACAACCUCAAAGUCAGUUUGUGUUACAACAUCAACCAACACGUAAUACUUUAAUAAAACCUCAUUCAUCACCGCAAAUACUAACGGCUGCCGGAAAUACAGCAACCACUGUAACGAAUGCCACAGGAGCCACACAAAUAACCAUUGCUACAACAACUGCCAAUAGCAAUAACUCCAGCAAUAAUAAUCAAACACAACAGCAGCAGCAACAAGUCACGACAGCUAACCAACAACAACAGUCCACAUUGCAACAACAACAACAGCAGCAAACCGCCAAUAUCCCACCUCCCUCACAAACCUCCGUCAAUGUCAACAUCAAUUUAAAUGAUCCCGGUAAUUUAGGUAUUAAACCACGUUUAAAACGCGUCGCCUGCACUUGUCCCAACUGUGUAGAGGGUGAAAACAAAUCGGAUCGCAAAAAACAACACAUCUGCCAUAUACCAGGCUGUAAUAAAGUCUACGGAAAAACUUCCCAUUUAAGAGCUCAUCUAAGAUGGCAUACUGGCGAAAGGCCUUUUGUCUGCUCAUGGCUAUUUUGUGGUAAACGUUUUACCAGAUCCGAUGAGCUACAAAGACAUCGAAGAACGCAUACAGGCGAAAAACGUUUUCAAUGUCCCGAAUGUAAUAAGAAAUUUAUGCGUAGCGAUCAUUUGUCAAAACAUAUAAGAACUCAUUAUAAAACUAGAUCUCCCAUGGAGCUAAUGGAGUUACAAAAUAUUGCCAUUAAACAGGAAAAAGCAGAAGGUGGUGGAGACAUGAACGCUAUGCAAGGAUUGCCAGGAAAUAUAGUAAAUAUAAAUUUACCACCCCGUCAAGAUGGUAACCAACAACAACAGGGUACAACAGUUGCUGGUUCAACUAUUGUUUCAAAUAAUUUGAAUAACUCCAUCACAUCGGAUAGUGGAGGUGGUGGUUCUACUGGUACAGGUAGUUUGGGAGGAAUAAUGCAGAAUGUUGAUCAUGCCAAUAGUUAUGAACACGAUGAGGACUGUGAUGAUGAAGAUGAGGAUGAAAUGGACGACGAAGAGGAUAGCGGUGAUGAUGAGGAGAAAAUGACCAUUUCCAUUAAUGAAUUUCAAGAAAAUUCUAACUAGCAGGACAUUGAUAUGCUAAUAGAACAAUAUAUGUUUGAUGAUUUUUGAAAUGUGCUAAACAACUAACGUGAAAUGUGAUCUAAAGAGAGAGUUUAAGCUGAAAAUUCUUUUCUAUCAACGUAGAGUAUACUGCGACAGCAAAGCUGAAUGUCGUUGGUGAAAUGUGAUACCCAGGACUAAUUCCUUAAAAAAUUUAAAAAAGAAAUUAUAUAUAAAAUAACUAAUUAUUUAUUUAUAAUUAUACAUAUUUGCAAAAUUUAAACAAAUAAAAUAUUUCUGUCAUUAUUUAUAAUAAAUGUAUAUAAUUUAUGUGUCUCUAAAUGUAUAUAGUUGAUAUAUACAAACAUCAAUAAGUAUGAAUAUAAUAUUAAAGUAGUUUAGAUAAUAUUUGCCGUUCAAGGAAAUACAAACAAAAGUUAUUGUUUGCAUUUUUUUUAUAUAUAUUUAAUAUUAUAUUUUCUGUCCGAUUAAAUGUUUUUUAUAUUUUAUUGUAAACUCUAAUUACUUUUAAAAAAAUUUAACAUUUUUACGUUUUUUUUUAGAAUUUUAAAUUCUGUUAAGAGAAAUGCUAUUAUUUGACCAUAAUUAAUAUAUGUAUGCUUUUUAAUUUUUCUUUAAAUUUUAUUUAAGUUAAGAAAAAUUAUAUUAAAAACAAUUAAAAUAUUUCUAGAUAUUUUAAAUGCACUCGAAAAUAACAGAGAAAUAUAUAUCAUAUUUCUUGGAAAAUAUAAAAACAAAUAUACUAUAUAUAAAAA
rnacentral:misc_RNA from 1 species